AUGCGGGCCUUUGCUAGCUGCGCCAGCAUGCACGACUCGGAGCUGUACCGGGCCGGCCUGUUGAGCCAGCUCGCCUUCUCGUGGCUGAACCCUCUGCUCCGCCUGGGCCGCUCAAAAGCACUGGAGCUCGCCGACGUCCCGCUCAUCGCCUCCGAGGACUGCGCGCGGCGAGCCUCUCGUAGGUUCUCCGAGGCGUGGAGCCGCCACCGGCAGGAGGAGGCAGAGAGCAGGAGGCCCAACAGCCUCGCCCUCGUCUUGUGCAGGUGCUUCCUCCGAGAGAUCAUGAUCGCCGGCUUGUACGCCUUCAUGAGAACGCUCGCCAUAGCCGCCUCCCCUCUAUUGCUCUUUGCGUUCGUACGCUACAGCUACCAAGAAGAGAGGGAUCACCGCGUCGGCCUGUCGCUCGUCGGCUGCCUGCUCGCCAUCAAGCUCGUCGAGUCCUUGUCCCAGCGGCAUUGGUUCUUCGACUCCAGGAGGACCGGGAUGCGCAUCCGGUCUGCCCUAGUGGCGGUCAUCUUUCAAAAGCAGCUCAAGCUGUCCAGCCAGGGGAGGAGGAACCAUUCUACCGGGGAGAUCGUCAACUACAUCGCCGUGGACGCUUACCGGCUGGGCGACGCUCUCGGCUGGUUUCACGAGGCGUGGAGCUCGCCGCUCCAGCUGGCCUUGGCAGUCGCCACGCUCUUCUGGGCACUCAGGCUUGGGGCACUCCCGGGUCUAGUCCCGCUCAUCAUCUUCGGCUUCCUCAACGUGCCCUUCGCAAGGCUUCUUCAAGGGUACCAGGCCAAGUUCAUGGUUGCACAGGAUGACAGGCUCCGGUCCACCUCCGAGGUGCUCAACAGCAUGAAGAUCAUCAAGCUGCAGUCAUUGGAGGACAAGUUCCGUACCAUGGUCGAGUCCCUCCGAGACGCCGAGUUCACAUGGUUGAGGGAGACCCAGAUAAAGAAAGCCUACGGCGCGGUCAUGUACUGGAUGUCCCCCACGGUUGUCUCUGCGGUCAUGUACACCGCGACGGCCAUUCUGGGGAGUGCCCCCCUGAAUGCCACUACACUCUUCACCGUCUUGGCCACCCUCAGGGUCAUGGCUGAGCCAGUGAAGUUUCUUCCUGAGAUCCUGACAAUGAUGAUCCAGUACAAGGUGUCGCUGGACCGUAUCGAAAAAUUUCUCAUAGAAGAUGAGAUCAAAGAGGGCGCGGAGAAGGGGCCUCCACAUAACUCUCAUGUCAAGGUUCAUGUCCAAGAUGCAAAUUUCAGCUGGAAUGCAAGUGCAGCCGAUCUGACGCUAAGGAAUAUUGACCUUAGCAUAAACCAAGGAGAGAAGGUGGCUGUCUGUGGUGCAGUUGGCUCAGGAAAAUCUUCGCUCCUUUAUGCAUUACUCCGGGAGAUACCGAGAACAUCAGGAUCAGUUGAGGUAUUUGGUUCACUGGCAUAUGUUUCACAAAACUCAUGGAUACAGAGUGGUACCGUCCGCGAUAAUAUACUCUUCGGAAAGCCUUAUGACAAGGCACUGUAUGAGAAGGCAAUCAGAUUCUGUGCUUUGGACAAGGAUAUAGAAAGUUCCAAUCAUGGAGACCUUACCGAGAUUGGUCAGAGAGGGCUCAACUUGAGUGGAGGUCAGAAGCAAAGGAUCCAGCUAGCUAGAGCUGUCUAUAAUGACGCAGACAUCUACCUCCUAGACGACCCUUUCAGCGCGGUGGAUGCGCACACUGCUGCAAUUCUUUUCUAUGAUUGUGUAAUGGCAGCACUUUCAUGCAAGACCGUUGUUCUUGUGACGCACCAAGUUGAAUUUCUGACGGAGACUAACAGGAUUUUGGUAAUGGAAGGCGGUCAAGUUAAACAACAAGGGAAAUAUGCGGAUCUUCUGGAAUCCGGGACGGCAUUUGAGAAGCUAGUUUCGGCUCACCAGUCCUCAGUCACUGCACUUGACAUCGCCAGCCAACAAAAUCGAGUCCAAGGGCAACAGGUUCUUGAUGACAUUACUAUGCCAGGUGCAUUGGUGGCAACACGGCAGACUAGCGAAAUCGAAGUCUCAACCAAGGAUCCUUCAGUGGCCCAGCUCACUGAAGUGGAAGAAAGGGGGAUCGGCAACCUUGGAUGGAAGCCAUACAAAGACUACAUACAAGUCUCAAAGGGCAUUUUGCCACUCUGUGGGAUGGCUGCAACUCAAGUCCUUUUUACAGGCUUUCAAAUCAUGUCGACAUACUGGCUGGCCGUGGCUGUUCAGCUCAAUGUCAGUAGUGCUCUUCUGGUUGGGGCAUACUCCGGGCUCUCCAUCUUCACAUUCUUUACGGGUCUAAUGGAUUCUGUAUUCAAGGCCCCCAUGUCAUUCUUCAACUCAACGCCCAUUGGAAGGAUACUCACAAGGGCUUCGUCAGAUUUAAGCGUUCUGGACUUUGACAUACCUUACUCCAUGGCUUUUGUGGUGACUGGCAGUGUGGAGGUGGUCACGACGGUGAUAGUCAUGGGUACUGUAACUUGGCAGGUCUUAGUUGUAGCAAUCCCAGUUACACUCACCAUGGUAUAUGUUCAAAGGUACUACAUGGAGUCAGCUAGAGAGCUAGUCAGAAUUAAUGGAACAACAAAGGCACCUGUCAUGAACUAUGCAUCAGAAUCGAUUCUUGGCGUGGUGACAAUCAGGGCUUUCAGCGCAACAGACUCGUUCAUAUACAAUAACCUGCAACUAAUAGACAAUGACGCGACAAUGUUCUUCCACACAAUUGCUGCGCAAGAGUGGGUUCUUAUAAGAGUGGAAGCACUGCAAAGCUUGACGAUACUCACAUUUUCAUUGUUCCUUGUAUUGGUUCCUCCAGGAGUAAUUUCACCAGGCUUUGCGGGUCUUUGUCUCUCCUAUGCUUUGACCCUGACUGGGGCACAGGUUUUCUUGACAAGGUUCUACUCCUACCUAGAAAACUAUAUCAUUUCAGUUGAGAGAAUCAAGCAGUAUAUGCACCUUCCAUCGGAGCCUCCUGCCGUAAUACCUGAUAACAGGCCUCCAAUUUCAUGGCCACAGGAGGGAAGAAUAGACAUGCAAGAUUUGAAGAUUAAAUACCGCCCAAACACGCCACUUGUUCUCAAAGGAAUCACUUGCACCUUCCCUGCUGGAAACAGAAUUGGGGUUGUAGGGAGGACGGGAAGCGGGAAAUCAACACUUAUCAGCUCACUGUUCCGUCUCAUUGAUCCUGUUGGUGGGAGGAUACUUAUUGACAACUUGGAUAUUUGCUCUAUGGGUCUCAAGGAUCUAAGAACUAAACUGAGUAUUAUCCCCCAAGAACCUACACUUUUCACAGGAACUGUGCGCAAUAACUUGGACCCCCUUGGUCUGCAUUCCGACGAUGAGAUAUGGGAGGCCUUGGAGAAGUGUCAACUGAAGAAAUCAAUUAGCAGCACUGCUGCUCUUCUCGAUACAGUAGUGAGUAAUGAUGGCGAUAACUGGAGUGUUGGACAGCGCCAACUCUUCUGUCUUGGCAGAGUUCUCCUCCGUAGGAACAAAAUUCUCAUGCUAGAUGAAGCAACGGCGUCCAUCGACUCCGCAACUGAUGCAAUCCUACAGGGUGUCAUCAGGAAGCAAUUCAUAAGUUGCACAGUGAUAACCAUUGCUCACAGGGUCGCAACUGUGACAGACAGUGACAGGGUCAUGGUACUUUCCUACGUGCUGACGACUUGUACGGGUAAGCUUCUAGAAUAUGACACACCCAUCAAGCUGCUGGAAGACAAACAAUCUGCCUUUGCUAAACUUGUGGCGGAGUAUUGGGCUAAUUGCAAUCGGAACUCAACCUGA
rnacentral:rRNA from 1 species